rnacentral:rRNA from 1 species
CGGCGAAGCCGGCUUCCGCAAGGACGUCUGUAUAGGUGCUGCAUGGCUGUCGUCAGCUCGUGUCGUGAGAUGUUGGGUUAAGUCCCGCAACGAGCGCAACCCUCGUCCUCUGUUGCCAUCAGGUCAAGCUGGGCACUCUAGUGAAACUGCCGUCGUAAGACGUGAGGAAGGAGGGGAUGAUGUCAAGUCAUCAUGGCCUUUAUGCCCAGGGCUACACACGUGCUACAAUGGAGAGGACAAAGGGCUGCAACAUAGUGAUAUGAAGCUAAUCCCAAAAACCUCUUCUCAGUUCAGAUUGGAGUCUGCAACUCGACUCCAUGAAGCUGGAAUCGCUAGUAAUCGUAGAUCAGCAACGCUACGGUGAAUACGUUCCCGGACCUUGCACACACCGCCCGUCAAGCCAUGGAAGCUGGGUGUACCUAAAGUCGGUAACCGUAAGGAGCCGCCUAGGGUAAAACUAGUGACUGGGGCUAAGUCGUAACAAGGUAACCGU